ACAAAAGGGGGGUACAAUUUGAGUAUUAAGAGGUUGCUUUAAGAAAUGUGGCAGAAUCUAUGAAGAACUCCCCAAGAGAUCAAAGCCUUGAUGGAUUAUUGGGAGAUUUUUCUUUUCUUCUGUUUUUGAGGCGGGUUCUGUCAUCCAGGCUAGAAUACAGUGGUGCAAUCACAGCUCA